rnacentral:rRNA from 1 species
GACGAACGCUGGCGGCGUGCUUAACACAUGCAAGUCGAACGGAAAGGCCCUGCUUUUGUGGGGUUCUCGAGUGGCGAACGGGUGAGUAACACGUGAGUAACCUGCCCUUGACUUUGGGAUAACUUCAGGAAACUGGGGCUAAUACCGGAUAGGAGCUCCUGCUGCAUGGUGGGGAUUGGAAAGUUUCGGCUGUUGGGGAUGUACUCGCUGCUUAUCAGCUUGUUUGUGUGGUAGUGGCUUACCAAGGCUUUGACGGGUAGCCGGCCUGAGAGGGUGACCGGCCACAUUGGGACUGAGAUACGGCACAGACUCCUACGGGAGGCAGCAGUGGGGAAUAUUGCACGAUGGGCGGAAGCCUGAUGCAGAAACGCCGCGUGCGGGAUGACGGCCUUCGGGUUGUAAACCGCUUUCGCCUGUGACGAAGCGUGAGUGACGGUAAUGGGUAAAGAAGCACCGGCUAAAUACGUG